rnacentral:sRNA from 1 species
UGGAAGCCCUAGAGACUGAAGUCCUCUAGUUAGCCACUUAAGAGAGACAACAAAGGCAGCUGCAGUGAAAGCUAUCCCACUCUGUCCAAACAAUAUGAUCCCAACAUGAUCUGGAAUGACCACUCUAGAGUUGAGGCCUAUUCAGCCUUUAAGCAUCUGGCCCUAAAUCUC